AGGCCACCAAGAAGGAGGUCAAGGACAUCUUUCGGCCGCUAUGACCGCACCCUCCUCGUCGCCGACCCCAGGCGCUGCGAGCCCAAGAAGUUUGGUGGGCGCGGAGGGGUCGGGCGAGAUAGGCCAACAAGUGCACUUGAAUGCUGGAUCUAGGCAAAUGCUUCCAUACUAGGAACAAUACUCUAAUGAAACAUCGAGUUGCUCCAGAACAAUAACAAUGCACAAGACGGAAUUUUCUGACCCAAAUCUUAAGCUGGCCAUCAGAUUUUAACUCAGGAGAGCUGCAUGUUAUAUUGAAAAGUAGGAAACGCCCAGAGGGGCGAAGGUAAAAUUUACAAGGCAGAACAAGAAAAACGGAGCUCCAACAGCUGCCAAGUGGGAUUAAUAUGUUUGAUCUUGCUAAUAUUGACAUAGUGUACUGGUCAACUCCAUUGAGGGUGCGGCAAAGCCGCGCUGUGUUUCUAGUAUAUACUUAUUAUCAUUUGAAUGGACAACACACAAUCAGGAGCUAGCACAAGUGCA